rnacentral:misc_RNA from 1 species
GCUUACCUCCCCUGACAAAGGAGAUGGCAAAUUGAAUAUUUUUUUAAAAAAAUAUUGUUUGUAAGACCAAAUUAUUCUCCCUGGAGACAGAUAAACCAGUAAGGGUCGGAUUGUAUAUAACAGCAUGAGCUGAAAAAAUGUUUCAGAAUGUGCUGUGGAUUAAACUACUGAACGCAGUUCUCCUGUUUGUAGAGCAAACUUCCGGUGCUGUGAGAGAACGCAAGGGAUUUUGACUGCCUGUAUUCUUAAGGCCAAGUCAUUUUCACAGGAUCCAUCGUUAUCCUUAGCUGCAUUCAGAAUUGUCUGGAAAAUUUGCAGAGGGUCACCG